GACGAACGCUGGCGGCGUGCUUAACACAUGCAAGUCGAACGAAGUGGCGGACGGGUGAGUAACGCGUAAUCAACCUGCCCUUCCGAGGGGGACAACAGUUGGAAACGACUGCUCAUAUGGCAUACUGAAGGAGGGGCUUGCGUGGGGUAUGCUAGUUGGAGGGGUAACGGCCACACAAGGCGAUGAUCAGUCGCCGGGCUGGGAGGGUGAACGGCCACAUUGGGACUGAGGCACGGCCCAGACGCCUACGGGAGGAAGCAGUGGGGAAUCUUCCGCAAUGGACGAAAGUCUGGCGGGGCAACGCCGCGUGAGUGAUGACGGCCUUCGGGUUGUAAAGCUCUGUUAAUCGGGACGCGGUACCGGAAUAGAAAGCCACGGCUAACUACGUGCCAGCAGCCGCGGUAAUUC
rnacentral:rRNA from 1 species